GUGCUUGCUAUGGCAACACAUAUACUAAAAUUGGAACGAUACAGAGAAGAUUAGCAUGGCCCCUGCGCGAAGGGGCCAUGCUAAUCUUCUCUGUAUCGUUCCAAUUUU